AUUAUUUAUUUCUUACACACACAGAAACAACACAUACUUACAUUUAGAAGAAAAGGUUAAAAAGUAAAUAAAAAAAAUAAGUUAUUAAAAGCAUGAAUGUUGCUUCUCGGUGCUGAAAUGGGUUCUAGUUCAGCUUGAUGCUAUGGCAGGUAUGCUAAACCACACCAUAGCGCUGGUUUUCAACUAGAACCCUUGGGUGAAGUCACGGACUGACUUGACUGACUGACACAAAAAAACAUAACAUAAAAAAAAAAAAAUAACAAACAGAAUAAAAAACAGUAACAUAUACUUAUAUGCUUAAACAAAGCGUCUCGGUUGUCGCGUCGAAACCAUAGAACUUAAAAUUGGGUCAAAGGGGAACGGGCGGGGGAAGGGAGGGCAAGCGCGCCUCUGCCUCGCGGCGCGUCGAGCCUUUUUCAGUCUGAAAAUGUCGCCCACGGCCGGAGCACGUCCGUGCGGCCAGCGCCCCACCCCCCGCGGAGCCCCGAAGCGCCCGCGCAACCAGUUUUUCAACUUUGCCACUGGUAAACAAUGUGUGCAACAAGUAGUUAAUACGCUUGUUUUGCGUGUAGUAGUGAUGCAGACCGACUAGUUACAUACUUUAAACUAUGAAUUGCUGCGCAGAGCAUACACAGAGUUAAAAUUGGAAACUAUAAACCAUGGUGUGAGAUUGAUAUUUUGUCAAAGUGCACUACAACAAUUUGACAUUUUUUUUGGGUAUAAGUACCUAUGCUAUAUAAUAUAAUGGUUUGCGUUGGCUGACUACAACAAAAUACCUACAUCUUUUCUUUGCCUACCAAGCUUCAAAUGGCUUUAUACCUACAAUGCACGGAGUGCGGCUGCUUUGCAAGGCUUGGAGGUUGUGCUCGUUUGGGACAGCUUUACCUUCUGGCUUAUCGUGAUAAACAUAAAGGCACGUAUCGGAGGGGGUAAGUUGUUCCAGCACUUGCUAGCAGCAUACUUGAAGGAACCACGGAAUGCUGCUGUUUUGAAGCUUGGCGUCACCAGCAUAUACGAAGAAGCACGCGUGUUAUGCCUGUUGUGAGUACUAGACCAGUCUAAUUUAGUAUAGAGGUAGUCAGGAGAACGUGUUUUAAUAAUUUUAAAUAAUAGGGUUGCAAAAUGAAGUUGUCUUCUGGCCUGUAAUUUUAACAAAUUUGAA